GAUGAACGCUGGCUACAGGCUUAACACAUGCAAGUCGAGGGGAAACGACGGGGAAGCUUGCUUUCCCGGGCGUCGACCGGCGCACGGGUGAGUAACACGUAUCCAACUUGCCUCUGACUUAGGGUUAACCCGCCGAAAGUCGUCCUAAUACCUCAUGGUAUCGUCUGCGGGCAUCUAACGACGAUUAAAGAUUUCAUCGUUCAGGGAUGGGGUUGCGUCUGGUUAGCUGGUUGGUGGGUUACCGGCGCACCAAGGCUACGAUCAGCAGGGGUUCUGAGAGGAAGGGCCCCCACAUUGGAACUGGGACACGGUCCAAACUGCUACGGGACGCAGCAGUAAGGGAUAUUGGAGAGUGGACGAGUGCCUGAUCCGCCCAAGUAGCAUGCAGCAAGGCGGCCUUAUGGAUGGUGACCUGCUUUUAGGAGGGGAUAAAGUGAGGGACGUGUCCCUCAUUGCAGGUACCGCAUGAAUAAGGACCGGCUAAUUCCGUG
rnacentral:rRNA from 1 species